UACGUAGGGUGCAAGCGUUGUCCGGAAUUAUUGGGCGUAAAGAGCUCGUAGGCGGUGUGUCACGCGUUCGUGAAAACCUGCAGCUUAACUGUGGGCGUGCGGUCGAUACGGGCAUCACUGGAGUUCGGCAGGGGAGACUGGAAUUCCUGGUGUAGCGGUGGAAUGCGCAGAUAUCAGGAGGAACACCGGUGGCGAAGGCGGGUCUCUGGGCAGUAACUGACGCUGAGGAGCGAAAAGCGUGG
rnacentral:rRNA from 1 species